rnacentral:rRNA from 1 species
GAUGAACGCUGGCGGCGUGCCUAAUACAUGCAAGUCGAGCGAACAGAUGAGGAGCUUGCUCCUCUGACGUUAGCGGCGGACGGGUGAGUAACACGUGGAUAACCUACCUAUAAGACUGGGAUAACUUCGGGAAACCGGAGCUAAUACCGGAUAUAUAUUGAACCGCAUGGUUCAAUAGUGAAAGACGGUUUUGCUGUCACUUAUAGAUGGAUCCGCGCCGCAUUAGCUAGUUGGUAAGGUAACGGCUUACCAAGGCAACGAUGCGUAGCCGACCUGAGAGGGGGAUCGGCCACACUGGAACUGAGACACGGUCCAGACUCCUACGGGAGGCAGCAGUAGGGAAUCUUCCGCAAUGGGCGAAAGCUUGACGGAGCAACGCCGCGUGAGUGAUGAAGGUCUUCGGAUCGUAAAACUCUGUUAUUAGGGAAGAACAAAUGUGUAAGUAACUAUGCACGUCUUGACGGUACCUAAUCAGAAAGCCACGGCUAACUACGUG